UACGGAGGGUGCAAGCGUUGCUCGGAAUCACUGGGCGUAAAGCGACCGCAGGCGGCCUGACAAGUCGGAUGUGAAAGCCCUGGGCUCAACUCAGGAAUUGCAUUCGAAACUGGCAGGCUUGAAUCCGGGAGAGGGAUGUGGAAUUCCAGGUGUAGCGGUGAAAUGCGUAGAUAUCUGGAGGAACACCGGUGGCGAAGGCGGCAUCCUGGACCGGUAUUGACGCUGAGGCGCGAAAGCUAGGGGAGCAAACGGG
rnacentral:rRNA from 1 species